UGGUGAGUAACGCGUGAGGAACCUGCCUUCCAGAGGGGGACAACAGUUGGAAACGACUGCUAAUACCGCAUGACACAUUUGAAUCGCAUGGUUUGAAUGUCAAAGAUUUAUCGCUGGAAGAUGGCCUCGCGUCUGAUUAGCUAGUAGGCGGGGUAACGGCCCACCUAGGCGACGAUCAGUAGCCGGACUGAGAGGUUGACCGGCCACAUUGGGACUGAGAUACGGCCCAGACUCCUACGGAAGGCAGCAG
rnacentral:rRNA from 1 species